GGCUCCUUUUGCGGACAGAUAUGGAGAUUUCUGCCAGGGAUUGGGGACACAGGAGCCCAUCCCCGCCCCGCGUACCUGGGUGUCCGUGGGGUAAAUAAUUCAGGAUUGUGAUGGAAUGGCGGGAGGGAGCGCUGGGAGCGAUGCGCAGCUCCCCGCGCUGCCUGCGCGCCUCCGUCCUGCGCCCGCCCUCGCUCCCCCGCCGCCAAAGCGAAUUUGUUGCAUUUCCUCCAUUGAUUGUUUAGUCAGAGGUUUUGCCAACUUCCUGACGGUUCGUUUUCUGAUUCUGAAAAAAAAAAAAAUCCCGAAAAAAAAAAAAAAAGAACCGCAUUUCCUUUUUGACUUAAGAGGGAGAGAGAGAGAGAGAAGCGGAGGCUGGGGGCUGGUGGACGCAUCGAGCUAUUCCUCGUCCCGAUUGUGAACUUGGCAGCGGCUCUUUGGCUCGAACAACCCCAGUGGCCACUAACCAGGAACACCUGCUGGUUAGCCGGAACGGGAGGGAGGAGAAGAUGGGCAUCUCCAGCGGAAUUCCAGCGCGGAAUAUGGAAGUGUUUAAAGGAAGACCUUCCCCAGCUCAGGGUAGCAGAGAUCUGAACCUUUAAAUUGCAGCCAUUCCCGGCCUGACGAUAAGUAAAUAAACAAUUCACAGCUGCGAGGGCUAAACACAGAACACAUCUAUCUCUCAGCCCGGGCCUGAUUGCUGGACGAGUAAUUAAGUGCGAAAUGUGAUUCACAGGCCUAGAUGACCUGUUUGAUGCCGGAGCUGGAUUUGAUUUGAAUCCUGGACUGUGAAGCCAUGGAGGGAUGGAUCUGUGGAUCUGGAUCACACUCAGAUCACUCCACUGGUAAUUUUUAUGUGGACCAAAUGAAUUCUUGGGCUCUCUGGUGAAGGGAGAAAAGUAGGGAGUGAUUAACAGCAGGACCUCAGCUUCCUUCUCACUGAAUCAUGAGCUUUUCCUGAAGCCACGGCAGGAGCUGUGCUGGAAAUGGUGCCUUGGGAGUCUGCAUCCCAGGUCAGGAGACCAGACAUCAAAUCCCUGGUGCAUCUUGGCAGCUGGGAGCGCUCCAGCAAACCAGGAUGCUCCAGCAGACCCUGACAAAGCUGCUGCUGGGAGCACAUCACCAGCAGGGUAAAUGGUAGGUGGGAUCAGUGGAGAACCAGCCAGGGGUCUCCUCACUGAGCAGAAGAGCCUUGUCUUUCCCCAGUCCCAGAGAAUCCAUAAAAACCACUCAAUUUCACACAGCUGCUUUUCACACAGCUGAGGCCACGUGGAACACGGCUCAUCCUUUUUAGAUCCCUCUUCCAGUGGGAACUGGGCAGGGAGACAGCAAAUCUUCAAACCCCAAGCUGUGAAGGAGCAAGAACACUCCCAAAAUGUCCCUUCUAAAAGGGAGCCUCCCUUCUGGGUUUCCAAUGCUAUCUUUGUUACCACCCUUGGUAACCCUGCUAGCAAAGAGCUGAAUGUUAUUAGAAAACAGCUGAGCAUGGGUGGGAAGACAAGAAAACAAAAGGAAAUGGAAGUCCUGGAAAUUGAUUUUCCAUUUGAAUCUGUUAUUUUUUUCUUCUAAUUUUUAAUAAGAUGUUUUAUGAAGCUUAUUGCACUGCUAUCUAUUUUCUUUUAGGGUGUGUUAUCUUUUGUGACUUAGUUUAGACUAAAAUAAACCUCAGUUGCUAAUUAA